GUUAGCCACGAAGAUGAAAAUAUCUCCCUCAGUCAGCCCCUCUCACGUCCUCCUCGAUUCCUUCCACUCCCUCGCGACCCCCGCCGCCGCCUCCCCUCCUGCCGCCGUCGCGCCAGGGCCCCGCCUCGCCCUCACCGGCCACCGGCGACCUCCAACCCUUGUUCUCCGCCUCGUCGCCAUAGCCACCUUGAGCUUGAGCAGAGGAGCGGCUCGGCAGGACGAGGGGGCAGCAGCCAGCCGCGCCUUGUCCGUGUCGCGUGGUGGCCCAGAUGCGGUCGCCCCCUGCUCUGCCUCCAUGAGCGCGGCCCCGAUCCAGACUCGGCAGGAGGAGGGGAGCAGCAGCCGGCCAUGCUGUGUUGGCCGUGGAGGAGGAAGGAACUCAUGUGGCUAGGGUUCGGCUACCCUCGUCAUCCAUCUCCUCGAUCUCUCUCUGUCUGGCCGUGGUCUGAAGGAGGAAGAAGGGACCCAGCGAAAUCGAGCGAUGCGGGCUGCAAUAGCCUAAAUAGGUGGUGGUCGAGAGUCGAGACCACGGGAGCGGGAGCGACGGCCAUCUCCCCCCGCCCCACUCUCUUUACCACCCCUAUGGAGAUGCUUUGCUGGGGACAUAUGAUUUCAUCCCAUUCUGUACUAUCCAUCAGGCCUCGGAUCCACGGCUUCUCCAUCUUCCUCCUCCAGCCCCUUUCUCCAUGUCGGCCAUCCAAGAUAGAGACGGCUUGGAUGGCAAGGGCCAAGCAUCGGCAUGGAUGACAGCCUCCAAGAUUUAAGUGGUCAAUUAUGAAUGACGAUGCAGCCUGCAGAGUCAGGGUACCGACACCCAAAUAAAUUCAGGCCAGUCCUCGAUGUGAAGAAGCUAAGGGAGGCGGAUCCCGACCCUUAUGACAGCCAAAAUUAGGCCGCCACUCGUCUCUCUCUUGCACCUACUCUUCAGAUGGCCAACAACACUUCGUGAGCAAUGACUGCUGUCCAGUUAAGAGCAAGAAAGAUCUUGCUGUUACUUGUCUUUUCAACAGUUCUUCUGUGUGGAAGGCUCUUUGCUCACACUCAAAUACUACCACUGAAACAUGGAAGAAGGAAAAGGUUACUCUUCUGAUCUUGAGAAAACAGUUUCAGAGAAGCUAGCAGAUGCAGAAGGAUCUCUGAAGAAGUUGAAGCUGGUCUAUUCAGCACCCUGCAUCGUUACUUGAAUCGCCUUUCUGGCCUUGUAACUGUACCGCUUUAACAGAGUUCGACGUGUAUCGGUACCAUGUUCUCUUCAAUUUGCUGUUGUGCUACUCAUUAACAGAAAUGGCUUCCUCUUCUUGCGAACCACACUGAUGUUGGCUUCUGGUUUCUGCUGUAAUGAUUUUUUUAACUACGGACAGCGUUUCUUAAGGCUAUGUCUCUGCUAUAGGUCACCGCAUUUCGGGGGACUAAGUCCGAUGACGGGAGAUUCUACAUAUGUGUUUAUUCGUCCGGUGACUUAGUAGAACAAUAACCUCUGUGCACAGUGAUAUUUCAGUUUCUACUAGAAGGUUUCAAAAUUGAACACGGAGGGUUUUAAUGAGUCUUGUACCGGACUGAGAACAAAUUAUGCUUUCUGGGUUUUUGAGUUUCAAGCUACUCAAAAUAAUUGAAGCUUUGGCUUCGCUAUGUAAGAAUGGUUGCAUGUGUUAAUUAGUGGUGCGCAUUUUUUGAGACUGUCCAAAAUUCUAUUAUAAAGUGCUUAUAUGAAAUUGAUAGGUACCUGGAA